UACAGAGGUCUCAAGCGUUGUUCGGAUUCAUUGGGCGUAAAGGGUGCGUAGGCGGCGCGGUAAGUCGGGUGUGAAAUCUCAGAGCUCAACUCUGAAACUGCACUCGAUACUGCUUUGCUAGAGGACUGGAGAGGAGACUGGAAUUUACGGUGUAGCAGUGAAAUGCGUAGAGAUCGUAAGGAAGACCAGUGGCGAAGGCGGGUCUCUGGACAGUUCCUGACACUGAGGCACGAAGGCCAGGGGAGCAAACGGG
rnacentral:rRNA from 1 species